AUGGUGCCUAAAGCGAGCAGGAGAAAGGAGGCGCCCAAGGCGAGCGAGGGGAAAGAGGUGCCAGAGAGCGAGUUGGUGAAGAUGCGGAGGGAGAACGUCGUCUUCGCUCCGACACUCUAUGUGCCCGCUCUGAAGGAGUCGUAUCUGUGUAUGUGGGGGAGAGCGACAACGGGGCAUCCUGCUACCCGCGUCAUCCUGGCUUCUUGCGCCGAGCCCGCCCUAGAUAAAUUCCCUUUCUUUGUCGAUUACUUCUACUGCAGGCUCUACCCCCCAUUUUCUGAUUUCUUCAACGACAUCAUGUACACAUUUGGCUUCCACAUCUUGGAUUUCACACCGAAUGUUGUGGCAUGUAUGUCCACCUUCGCCCACCUCUGUGAGAAUUUUGCCGGAGUGGUCCCCAAUACGGCCCUUUUUCGCCAUUACUUCGUUCCCUGCAUCCAGCCAGGAGGGGCCCUUUCUGGCUGUGUCACCUGGAUUCCAAGGGCACUGACCAAGAAGACAUACCCAGACGGGGCCCACCGCGAGAAGUGGGACGAAUGGCGGGGCAAGUGGUGCUCGGUCAUGGAGAAGGACUUAUAUGUCUCCAACGUAUCUAUAAUUUUUGAUUGUUCCAUGCUAUUAUAUUAA
rnacentral:rRNA from 1 species